GCUUCAUCGAUAUGUUUGUUUAGUCCAAUUGAAAUAAGCCCAUUUGAAAUUAAAUUCGGCCACGUUGCAUAAGUUAACCAUAAAGCCAUCUUUGAUCAGUCUUCCCCCAUAAUUGCUUCGUAACGCAUCUCUUCUUCUCUAACCUCUUCAUGUCAUCUGUUAAUAUUCUUCUUUAAAGUUCUCUCCUCACCUUCUUUUCUCUGUUAUAGUCUCCGUCCAGAUUAAGAUCUACUAACCUUACCCAAUCACGCAUCUCUCUAAAAUCCGGUUGAGUUUGAAUUCCAAGGAGGAGGAUACAGGGAUCGAAUCAUUCGAGUGGGUUUUUUUUUUUUGCACAAUACGGUUGUCAAGCGAGAGCUAGCGGAAGACGUGUUGUGAAGAUGUUACUAAAUUUGAUAUCAUUAUAUUACUAUCUCAAGUUUUGAUAUACUGACUUAGAGAAACAUAUAGAUGUGAGAGGCUCUGGUAACGAUCAAAAACUGAGCACACCUAGGUCUAAACAUUCUGCUACAGAGCAAUGAAGAAGGAGCAAGAUCAGAUAGGGUAAGUCUUGAAUAUAUACUCAUAGAUAUAUGAUAUUUAGCAAAAGCGGAGUUGGUCAUAGAGUUUAGCAUAGAGACGAGACUAAUCAAACAUUGUUAAUGGAUUCCUAUUGCAGAUUUCAAAUGUUAAGACAACUAAUACCUAACAGUGACCAAAAGCGGGACCUUUCUUAACAGAAGAUUCAGUCUCAUCAUUUUCUAACACUAAAAUAUAUUCUUUUAAAACUUUGUACAUGUUAUCGAGUAUAUUCAUUUCUUACCGGAGAAAGCAGACAAGUAUGAAACCUCUUACCAAGGAUGGAACCACGAACCUGCAAAGAUAUUGAAUUGGGAACCGUCGCUUUUACUCCAAAAUUGGAAGAAGAGAAGAACACUGUUCCGGUACCGGUAGUUGCAACAGCACAAGGCGUUGUUAUCGAUCAUCCUACAGCCGCAACAUAUGUGAAGACGAAGAUUGGUCAAGCUCCAAGGCACAUAUGUUUCGCUAGAGAUAAACGACUGAUGGUGAGCUACGGUGGUGCAAUUAAGUAUCCAAUAUCGAACAAAGAAGAUGUCUCAUGUGACCAUUGGAGUUUUAAUGUAUCCUCUCCUCUGUUUUCGUUUAACCUGGUGGUAUAACGUAUUGUAAUUCUUACCAUCUUAUGCAAUUAUUGUUAAACAUAU